UGGGGAAUAUUGCGCAAUGGGCGAAAGCCUGACGCAGCAACGCCGCGUGCGUGAAGAAGGCCCUCGGGUCGUAAAGCGCUAUAAAGUGAGAAGAGCAGGUAGGAGUUAAUAGCUUCUGCCCCGACGGUAUCACUAGACAAAGCACCGGCUAACUCCGUGCCAGCAGCCGCGGUAAUACGGAGGGUGCAAGCGUUGUUCGGAAUUAUUGGGCGUAAAGGGCGCGUAGGCGGGUUCUUAAGUCUGAUGUGAAAUCCCUCGGCUCAACCGAGGACGUGCAUUGGAUACUGGGAACCUUGAGUCCUGGAGAGGAAAGCGGAAUUCCAAGUGUAGAGGUGAAAUUCGUAGAUAUUUGGAGGAACACCAGUGGCGAAGGCGGCUUUCUGGACAGUGACUGACGCUGAUGCGCGAAAGCGUGGGUAGCAAACAGG
rnacentral:rRNA from 1 species